CCCUUAGAUGUUCUGGGCUGCACGCGCGCUACACUGAUGCGUUCAACGAGUGUAUAUCCUUACCCGGUAGGGUUGGGUAAUCUUCUGAACACGCAUCGUGAUGGGGAUAGAUUAUUGCAAUUAUUAAUCUUCAACGAGGAAUUCCUAGUAAUGGUGAAUCAUCAGUUCAUCGUGAUUACGUCCCUGCCCUUUGUACACACCGCCCGUCGCUCCUACCGAUUGAAUGGUCCGGUGAAGCCUCCGGAUUGGCGCGCACCUCGGUGCCGCCGAGAAGUUGGCUAAACCUUACCAUUUAGAGGAAGGUGAAGUCGUAACA
rnacentral:rRNA from 1 species